CUUUUCAAAUAAGAGACCUGGGGGAUUUUAGAACAGGGUUUUCAAGGUAAUGGAGGAAGAGAAUCUUCUUUGGACUUCUUUUUGCUUCAGAUGUGGAGAAGGCAACUUCCCGGAGUCUCUACCAGUGAGAAGGCUACAGAAUCAUGGGUAGAUAAGGUGUCGCUCUGUGGCCAUAGCUCACUGCAGCCUCAAAUUCCUGCGCUCAAGUAAUCCUCCCACCUCAGCUUCCCAAGUAGAUGGGACUACAGCUCCAAAUAACCCCGUGAUUUUGGAUGAUUGAUUAUGGGAAUGCUGCUUUCACUGUACAUCCAAGCUCUCCUGGCCUCAGCAGAUAAGUAUAUGAGAGCACAGU
rnacentral:lncRNA from 1 species